rnacentral:rRNA from 1 species
AGAGUUUGAUCCUGGCUCAGGAUGAACGCUGGCGGCGUGCCUAAUGCAUGCAAGUCGAGCGAACAGACGAGGAGCUUGCUUCUCUGACGUUAGCGGCGGACGGGUGAGUAACACGUGGAUAACCUACCUAUAAGACUGGGAUAACUUCGGGAAACCGGAGCUAAUACCGGAUAAUAUAUUGAACCGCAUGGUUCAAUAGUGAAAGACGGUUUUGCUGUCACUUAUAGAUGGAUCCGCGCCGCAUUAGCUAGUUGGUAAGGUAACGGCUUACCAAGGCAACGAUGCGUAGCCGACCUGAGAGGGUGAUCGGCCACACUGGAACUGAGACACGGUCCAGACUCCUACGGGAGGCAGCAGUAGGGAAUCUUCCGCAAUGGGCGAAAGCCUGACGGAGCAACGCCGCGUGAGUGAUGAAGGUCUUCGGAUCGUAAAACUCUGUUAUUAGGGAAGAACAAAUGUGUAAGUAACUAUGCACGUCUUGACGGUACCUAAUCAGAAAGCCACGGCUAACUACGUGCCAGCAGCCGCGGUAAUACGUAGGUGGCAAGCGUUAUCCGGAAUUAUUGGGCGUAAAGCGCGCGUAGGCGGUUUUUUAAGUCUGAUGUGAAAGCCCACGGCUCAACCGUGGAGGGUCAUUGGAAACUGGAAAACUUGAGUGCAGAAGAGGAAAGUGGAAUUCCAUGUGUAGCGGUGAAAUGCGCAGAGAUAUGGAGGAACACCAGUGGCGAAGGCGACUUUCUGGUCUGUAACUGACGCUGAUGUGCGAAAGCGUGGGGAUCAAACAGGAUUAGAUACCCUGGUAGUCCACGCCGUAAACGAUG